rnacentral:misc_RNA from 1 species
CCUCCUUUCUAAGGAAAUCGAGAAUAAUAUUUUCGAUUUAAAAAAACAGGUAAUGUGACCGUCCUCAUUUCUCUUCUUAAUAAUGUCUCUGAGUAUAUGUAAAUAAGGGGCCGGUAGCUCAGGUGGUUAGAGCGCACCCCUGAUAAGGGUGAGGUCGGAAGUUCGAAUCUUCCUCGGCCCACCAAGAAUUCGGGGGAUUAGCUCAGCUGGGAGAGCGCCUGAUUUGCAUUCAGGAGGUCAGCGGUUCGAUCCCGCUAUCCUCCACCAAAAUUUUAGACAUUUAGCUUUUUUAAAUUGUGAAUAUUUUUAUUAUCAAUAUCUAUAUCCGAUUGUUUUCAGAUAUUUUUUUGAAAACAAUCAAACAAAAAUUUAAUUUAUUGCAGAAAAAAUUUUUUUCUGUGCAUAAAUCAAGCGUUUAAGGGCGUUUGGCGGAUGCCUUGGCACUGAAAGACGAUGAAGGACGUGGUAUACUGCGAUAAGUUUCGGGGAGCUGUAUGCAAGCUUUGAUCCGAAGAUUCCGAA